rnacentral:rRNA from 1 species
CCUUCGGGAGGCAGCAGUGAGGAAUAUUGGUCAAUGGACGAGAGUCUGAACCAGCCAAGUAGCGUGAAGGAUGACUGCCCUAUGGGUUGUAAACUUCUUUUAUAAAGGACUAAAACGAGGCACGUGUGCCUUUUUGCAUGUACUUUAUGAAUAAGGAUCGGCUAACUCCGUGCCAGCAGCCGCGGUAAUACGGAGGAUCCGAGCGUUAUCCGGAUUUAUUGGGUUUAAAGGGAGCGUAGAUGGGUUGUUAAGUCAGUUGUGAAAGUUUGCGGCUCAACCGUAAAAUUGCAAUUGAUACUGGCAGUCGUGAGUACAGAUGAGGUAGGCGGAAUGCGUGGUGUAGCGGUGAAUUGCUUAGAUAUCACGAAGAACACCGAUUGCGAAGGCAGCUGACGAAACUGCCACUGACAUUGAUGCUCGAAAGUGUGGGUAUCAAACAGGAUUAGAUACCCGAGUAGUC